UAUGUGAUCGUCUCUCGCAUAUCAAUAAGCGGAGGAAAAGAAACUAACAAGGAUUCCCCUAGUAACGGCGAGUGAAGCGGGAAGAGCUCAAAUUUGAAAUCUUAAAGGGUUUCCCUUUACGAAUUGUAGUUUAAAGAAGUGUUUUCUGUUGAGGUUUUGGUAAAAGUUCCUUUGGAAUAGGACAUCAUAGAGGGUGAGAAUCCCGUAUUUGACCUUUACUUUCAACUUUGUGAUACACUUUCAAAGAGUCGGAUUGUUUGGGAAUGCAGUCCAAAAUGGGUGGUAAAUUUCAUCUAAAGCUAAAUAUUGGCGAGAGACCGAUAGCGAACAAGUACCGUGAGGGAAAGAUGAAAAGAACUUUGAAAAGAGAGUUAAACAGUACGUGAAAUUGUCAAAAGGGAAGCGUUUGACACCAGUGUUGUUUUUCUGAAAAUCAAUUAAAGAACUGUUUAUGCUAAGUUGUUUAGACUUUAUCAGCUAAUCUGCUUAGUUUUGAGCUUUUCUUUAAUGCACUUUUCAGUUAACAAGUCAACAUCAAUUUCUUUUGCUGUAAAAAAGCUUGAGGAAGGUGGCUUGAGAUUCGUCUUAAGUGUUUAUAGCCUCUUGCCUAUGCAGUCGGAGAGAUUGAGGUCUGCAGCGUAGAUCCUUCGGGGCUAAAUGCAUUUGUGCUAAGUUAUAGCAUUUUAUAGACAACUUGUUGACUAUGAUUUGUCUUGUAGCUUACUCGCUUAUGUUAUUUUACCUACGCUUAGGAUGUUGAGUAGCGACAUACGCAC
rnacentral:rRNA from 1 species